rnacentral:rRNA from 1 species
AGCAGGCGCGCAAAUUACCCAAUCCCGACACGGGGAGGUAGUGACAAUAAAUAACAAUACGGGGCUCUUUCGGGUCUCGUAAUUGGAAUGAGUACAAUUUAAAUCCCUUAACGAGGAACAAUUGGAGGGCAAGUCUGGUGCCAGCGGCCGCGGUAAUUCCAGCUCCAAUAGCGUAUAUUAANGUUGUUGCAGUUAAAAAGCUCGUAGUUGAAUUUCGGGAUUGACACAUCGGUCGUGCCUUAAGGGGUAUGAACUGGUGUAGUCAAUUUCUCACCUUCUGGAGAACCGCGAUGCCCUUAAUUGGGUGUCACGGGGAACCAGGACCUUUACUUUGAAAAAAUUAGAGUGUUUAAAGCAGGCAUUUUGCUUGAAUACAUUAGCAUGGAAUAAUAAAAUAGGACGGCAUGAUUCUAUUUUGUUGGUUUCUAGGAUCACCGUAAUGAUUAAUAGGGAUAGUUGGGGGCAUUAGUAUUCAAUUGUCAGAGGUGAAAUUCUUGGAUUUAUUGAAGACUAACUACUGCGAAAGCAUUUGCCAAGGAUGUUUUCAUUAAUCAAGAACGAAAGUUAGGGGAUCGAAGACGAUCAGAUACCGUCGUAGUCUUAACCAUAAACUAUGCCGACUAGGAAUCAGACGAUGUUAAUUUUUUAAUGACUCGUUUGGCACCUUACGGGAAACCAAAGUGUUUGGGUU